rnacentral:lncRNA from 1 species
UUCCCUUAAACGUCCAAACCACCUCCCCAUUCUGAGGACUCCAUUUUCCCCCAUUUACACCCAGCCCUAGCCGCCGGUCCUCUCUUUCUUUUUUCUUUAUCACACAAGCUCAUUCUCACCUAUCAUAAAUCCAUCAUCUGAUAUUCUCACAAACACACACGAAAUAUCUAGAAAGCAAGUUUGAAAUUCAAAAAUCGGAGAUCUAGAAAACCAAAAAAAGAGAGAAUGAAAUUCGAAAAAAACAAAGGAAGAACAAUAGAGUUUUGAUAGGUUUUUUCGGAUUCAAAUAAUUCAAAAUCAAAGCUGUUGUUGUUUGCUGUUGAUUUCGAGUUGAUUUGCCUGGGCUUCGAACUUUCCUUCCUCCGGUUCGGACUGUUUUUGCUGCUCAUCUGUUGAACUUCACCAACUAGUAGUUCUAGGAUUUUAUUUGUUUUUUGUGCUGCUGUUUUCUUGCUUUAAGUAUGUAUUCCUCACUUGUUCUUUAUUUCGCAUUUAUUGAUAAAACGUUGUUGUAUUCCUGAGCUGAUUUGGAUCUGGCUCGCCAAAGCCUCAAAUACUGUUUGUCUUCCAUUUUUUGUUCAAUACUUAAUGCUGAAUAUGCUUACAUUAAUUGUUCAAAUUAUUGAUUAGAAUUGAAGGUAUUGAAACUCUGUUUGAUAUUAGGAAUUUAUGAGGUGAUUGCAAUUAGUUUGAACUCAUAUGUCUCACAGAUUUAAAUUCCAUUCAAGUCGUUUGAAUCAUUCAGUUUAGUGCUGCGGUACCGUAGAAGUGGCUGAAUUCUGGAUUUUUAUCUUAUAAUGACAUGAUAAUGUAGACCUAAUCAUUUACAAUAUGUAUAGCUUGUAUUUCUGACGGGAAUUACUCAAGUAUAUAGGUUCUUUGUUUAAUGUUAAGAACAAUUAAAAGAAGUAACCUCCAUCGAUGGUUGAUAGUGUAAUGCUUUCUGCGAAAUUGAGUUUGAGUUAGUGAACUAGCCAUAUCAUCUGUUUAUUCGUAUGUUGAUAUUUAGAACUUUGUGCGACUGUUGCUGAUUUU